rnacentral:rRNA from 1 species
UACGAAGGGUGCAAGCGUUACUCGGAAUUACUGGGCGUAAAGCGUGCGUAGGUGGUUUGUUAAGUCUGAUGUGAAAGCCCUGGGCUCAACCUGGGAAUUGCAUUGGAUACUGGCAGGCUAGAGUGCGGUAGAGGGUAGUGGAAUUCCCGGUGUAGCAGUGAAAUGCGUAGAGAUCGGGAGGAACACCAGUGGCGAAGGCGACUACCUGGACCAGCACUGACACUGAGGCACGAAGGCGUGGGGAGCAAACAGG